GUCUCUUAUGAUGAUCAAUUGAAAAACUUUUGUUCUUCCGAGAAAAAUUCCAUGUGGAAAUAUUAUGGAGACUUGAACUGAAGAGAC